rnacentral:rRNA from 1 species
AUGGCCGAGGUUGUGAUUCUCAUGGCAGUGGCAAAGAUCGGUGUAGCUCUGGGGAAUGAAGCAAUGAACCAGGCUACUUUACAGUUCUAUAACUUUAUAACACAGCUAACAGAGCUUCAAGGAAGCAUGGGUCGCAUCAGAAGGGAGCUCAGGUUGAUGCAUGAAUAUCUUUGCCGAAUGGACAUACGGAAUCGCAACAAUCAGACAUAUGAAAUCUGGGUGGAGGAGGUGAGAAUGCUUGUUCAUGGGAUUGAGGACAUUGUGGAUGAGUAUUUGCAUCUUGUUGGUCAGAAACAUGACAGUGGAUGGAGUGCCUAUCUGAAGAAAGGAUUCAAACAACCAAAUGUUUUAUUCUCUUUAAACAGGGUAGCUUCUUUGGUUAAGGAAGCGGAGGUCAAUCUUGUGCACCUGUUCCAGGCUAAAGAUCGAUGGGUGUCAAUGGUAGAUAGUGGGUAUAUGAAUGACUCAAGUUACAUUGUUGAGAGGUCUCAGCAUCUAGCAAGCACUUCACGUUCCCUUGCUGAAGAAGAUCUCGUGGAGGUUGAUGGAAACAGAAAAAAGCUUGAGCAGUGGUUGGCAGGUGAUGAGUUGGAACGCUCUGUGGUAGUGCUGCAUGGUAUGGGAGGGCUUGGUAAAACAACUUUGGCUGCAAAUGUCUACAGGAAGGAAACAGAAAAUUUUGAUUGCCAUUGUUGGGUCUCUGUCUCUCAAACUUAUUCCAGAGAAGAUGUUUUAAAAAAAUUAAUCAAGGAGCUUUUCAAAGACAAAGCCAUUGUUCCAUCUAAUAUUGAGACCAUGGACAUCAUAAGCCUUGAAGAGGCACUGAAGAAUUUUUUAGAGCAGCGUAAGUAUUUGAUCAUGCUGGAUGAUGUUUGGACUCCUGAAGCAUUUCAUGAUCUUUCUGGGGUGGUUAUUCGUAACAAGAAGGGCAGCAGAGUUGUAAUCACAACCAGGGAAGGCAAUGUUGCUCGACUUGCUUCUCAAGGACAGGUCUUAACACUAAAACCUCUAUCAAAGGAUGGAUCAUGGCAACUCUUCUGUAAGACAGCUUUCCCCAGAGAUACAAAAUGUGAGUGUCCCACAGAACUGACAGAAUUAGCACAUGAAGUGGUUGACAAGUGUAAAGGCAUACCCCUCGCAAUUGUCUCUAUUGGCAAGCUCCUCUUUGUACGUGACAAGACCAAAGAGGAACUGAAGCGAAUACAUGACCAGCUCGACUGGGAGCUAGUUAACAAUCCAAGCUUGGAACAUGUCAGGAAUAUCCUUUAUUUGAGUUACUUGUACCUUCCGACAUACUUGAAAAGUUGCUUUCUGUACUGCAGCUUGUUCCCAGAGGACUAUCUUUUCAAAAGGAAAAAGCUGAUACGAUUGUGGGUAGCAGAGGGCUUCGUCAAGGGAAGGGGUGAAAGCACAAUGGAGGAAGUGGCUGAAGGUUAUCUAGAAGAGUUGGUUCACAGAAAUAUGCUUCAAGUUGAUACAAGAAACCCAUUUGGUAGGAUAAAAUCAUUCAGGAUGCAUGAUAUUGUACGUGAGUUGGCAGUAGAUUUGUGUCGCCGGGAAUGCUUUGGUGUUGUUUAUGAGGAGGAUAAAUAUAUGGAAUCUCUUGAUGAGAUGGAUGCACGUCGACUGGUAAUACACAAAAUGAAGAAGGAUAUUUAUCAGUCAGUAUCAGGUGUACACCGUCUCCGCUCUGUUAUCGCAUUGGACAUCAAUAUUCCAUCCACUUUACUGCCUCUAAUAGCAAUGAAGUCCAGAUAUAUGUCGGUGCUGGAGUUAAGUGGCCUACCCAUUGAGAAAGUUCCAGAUGGUAUUGGAGAUCUUUUCAAUCUCCGCUAUUUGGGUCUGCGUGGUUCAAAAGUGAAGCUCCUUCCCAGGUCUAUUGAGAAACUUUCAAGUUUGUUGACACUGGACCUUUCAGGGUCUGGCAUGAAGGAGCUGCCUAGAGGCAUUGGUAAACUAAAAAAGCUUAGGCAGUUAUUCACUGACAAAGCUAGUGAUCGAUUUAGGAGAGAUUUCCGAUGCGGCAGUGGUGUAUGCAUCCCCAAGGGCCUUGAGAACCUGACAAGUCUGCAGACACUAGUAUCAUUGGAAGCGCAGGAUGAGUCCGUUAGACAGUUGGGGGAGCUGAGGCAGCUGAGAAGCUUGGAGAUAUGGAAUGUGAAAGGAACCUACUGUGGACAUAUAUCUGCUUCUCUAGCCGGGAUGCGACACCUUUCCUACCUACAUGUGAAUGCAAGCGAAGACAAUGAGGUUCUCCGGUUGAGUGGUCUACCCCCAAACCUGCAAAGGAUUAGCUUGACUGGCCGAUUAGCGGAAGGCACAUUGGUAGAGUCUCCUCUGUUCCAAACUGCGGGGCGGAACCUGUAUUCACUGUCUCUAUCUUGGUCCCAGAUGAUACAAGACCCCUUACCAUCCCUUUCUCGAUUGUCAAAUUUGUCAGACCUGAUGCUCACCAGGGCGUACAGAGGAAAGCAGAUGACAUUUCUUGCCGGGUGGUUCCCCAAGCUAAAAACCCUGAGACUGAGAGACCUGCCAAAUCUGGAGGUUCUAGAGAUGAAGGAAGGUGCCGUUGUGAGCCUCGAAAUAUUAACACUAGUCAACCUUGAAGGCAUGGUGGAGGUCCCACCUGGCAUAGAGUUUCUCGCGCAUGUAAAGCAUAUUUCGUUCCGGGAAAUCACCAGCGAGUUUUUGACUUCGCUGCGACAAUGUCCUAGAACUCAAGGGAUGCAGUGGCGGCAUACUCUCAGGUCGAUUUGGUGCUCGGGCUCAUCUGCACCUGAAAUCUGA